rnacentral:rRNA from 1 species
UGGCGGACGGGUGAGUAAUGUCUGGGAAACUGCCCGAUGGAGGGGGAUAACUACUGGAAACGGUAGCUAAUACCGCAUAACGUCGCAAGACCAAAGAGGGGGACCUUCGGGCCUCUUGCCAUCGGAUGUGCCCAGAUGGGAUUAGCUAGUAGGUGGGGUAACGGCUCACCUAGGCGACGAUCCCCAGCUGGUCUGAGAGGAUGACCAGCCACACUGGAACUGAGACACGGUCCAG